rnacentral:sRNA from 1 species
GAACUUGCGGCUGUCAAGCUCCCGGCCGGGCUGACUCAAGCGGAGGCGCGCGGAACAGUCGCCGAGGCGAUUCCCGCCCAGGCUCCUGUAACCGCCAGGCAGCGGCCCCACCAUGUCCCAGCCCCGGACCCCAGAGCAGGCACUGGAUACGCCGGGGGACUGCCCCCCAGGCAGGAGAGACGAGGACGCUGGGGAGGGGAUCCAGUGCUCCCAACGCAUGCUCAGCUUCAGUGAUGCCCUGCUGUCCAUCAUCGCCACCGUCAUGAUCCUGCCUGUGACCCACACGGAGAUCUCCCCAGAACAGGUAACGGGGCAGGCUGUGCUCUGCGUGGUGUGGCCCUGAGAAGAUAUAGGGUACCCGAGGCCCGACCUGGCACAGGGGGCUGACCCUGCACGCCUCGAAGCUUCUGAGGCUUAGGAGGCAGAGGCGGGAGGCAGGGGCCUCCUUGGAAAGGGAGGGAGCCAACAAGUCCUGCUCAGCCUGUGCUCACCCCGGCGGAGGUCCUGGCCUCCUGGGAGGGUGGGAGACUGGGCUCCUAGGGCUCUGUUUCCGAGUUCAGUGGACAAAGGCAGCACCCUGGAAGUGAGCCAGAGGACAGGUUGGAAGAGGAAGGUUCCGGGCCUGCCCCAAGGACAGAAGUUUCCUCUGCGGGAGGGCAGCUGCCCCAGCAGGCAGGCCCCUUACGUAGCUGCUCUGAGUAAACGGGGCCAGCGCCCCGUCUCAGCAGGGACACUCCUACCCCGGCUGCUCCUGCAGGCCUGGAGCAGUUCGACAGAAGUGUACAGAGGCUUCUGGCAACACGGAUUGCCGUCUACCUGAUGACCUUUCUCAUCGUGACAGUGGCCUGGGCAGCACACACAAGGUUGUUCCAAGUUGUUGGGAAAACAGACGACACACUUGCCCUGCUCAACCUGGCCUGCAUGAUGACCAUCACCUUCCUGCCUUACACGUUUUCGUUAAUGGUGACCUUCCCUGAUGUGCCUCUGGGCAUCUUCUUGUUCUGUGUGUGUGUGAUCGCCAUCGGGGUCGUGCAGGCACUGAUUGUGGGGUACGCAUUCCACUUCCCGCACCUGCUGAGCCCGCAGAUCCGGCGCUCUGCCCACAGGGCUCUGUACCGACGACACGUCCUGGGCAUCGUCCUCCAAGGCCCAGCCCUGUGCUUUGCAGCGGCCAUCUUCGCUCUCUUCUUUGUCCCUUUGUCUUACCUGCUGAUGGUGACUGUCAUCCUCCUCCCCUAUGUCAGCAAGGUCACCGGCUGGUGCAGAGACAGGCUCCUGGGCCGCAGGGAGCCCUCGGCUCACCCAGUGGAAGUCUUCUCGUUUGACCUCCACGAGCCACUCAGCAAGGAGCGCGUGGAAGCCUUCAGCGACGGAGUCUACGCCAUCGUGGCCACGCUUCUCAUCCUGGACAUCUGUGCCCCCCAUCGCUUCGCAGCCCCUCCCGCUCCCUUUGGCUGGCUGUUGCUUCCUUCCAGCGUCUGCUCCUCCGCUGCCUCAUCUGCCUCUUCGUCUGUUAGAGCGCGCGUCUCGUCUCAGUUGUCACGUUUUUGGUUUUUGUGGGUUUUUUUUUUUUUUUUUUGAGACAGUCCUGCUGUGUCACCCAGGCUGGAGUACAGUGGCUCAACCUCAGCUCACUGCAACCUCUGCCUCCCAGGUUCAAGCAAUUCUCCUGCCUCAGCCUCCCAAGUAGUUGGGAUUACAAGCACCCACCACCAUGCCCAGCUAACUUUUUGUAUUUUUAAUAGAGAUGGGGUUUCACCAAGUUGGCCAGGCUGGUCUUGAACUCCUGACCUCAGGUGAUCUGCCCACCUCGGCCUCCCAAAGUGCUGGGAUUGCAGGUGUAAGCCACCGUGCCCGGCCAUCGUAAUGUUUGAAUUUGCUUUUUUACAUCUUCCAUCCUUUUGGAGUGUCUUAUUCCCUCGUCAUAGUUCAGCACUGUGACCACUUUGGGGUUAGACACUAUGGUUUUAUAUCCUGUACUUGAUAUUCUCGAGUCCAAGUCUCCUGAU